UGGGAGCGAGCCUGGGGGAUGGGCAUCUUCGGAGGCUAACAAGCUUCCCACCCCCACAGCCCCGUGGACCCCCUGCUGGGCCUGGACAGAGCCCUCCAGGGGGUGUCCUUGCACAGAUGGCAGAAGGGAUGCGUCCUGGCCCCACAAUGAUAAGAGGCCAGGUCAGUCCCUCAUGACCGGCUUGCAGGGGGGCAGGGAGAAGGCAGAGUGGCUGAAAUACAGGAGGAGGCGGACCCCAAGGCAAGGAGGGGAGUGUGCGGAUGAUACUGGAGAGGAGCCGCUUGAGCGAGGUGACCUUCACGGGCGCACGGACUGGGAUGCUACCGACGGAGGCCCUGCUUACAGAACUGCCUGGAGACCACGGAGGACCUGGCUUCUCACCAGCCUGAGACUCACUCUUGAAGGACACUGCUACCUGCAAAAGCCAGAGCAGCAACAACCCAGAGAAUCAGCAGGUGACCAAAGACAUCAAGGAGAACCAGGCAUUGCUUUGUGGGAUACCCUGUCCGAUACCCUCGCCUAUCAGGGAGGAAGAACUUGGGGAGUGCCCCAUGGCAAGAGCAGGCAUGGAGGACACCCCUGCC